CCAGCUCACUCUCCAGUCUCCCCACUGCUCACUCUCCCCACUGCCCAGCGACCGCCGACCAGUGUGCAGUCCCCGGCCAAACAGCAGCGGCGCAGGCGGCAAUCGUGAAGGGCGAAGCGUUCCUUUUCCAAUUUCCACCGAUUUCUGCAGUCAGCACUUGCUGCACUUCCACUUUCGGCUUUCGGUCGGUAAGUUAAUU
rnacentral:lncRNA from 1 species